AAAUGAUAAAUAUGUAAUAAUAAUAUCAAAACAUCUCAUUUAGCUAUAAUGUAUUAUGAACUGGUUUGGAGUUGCACACAAAAGCUCUGUUCUAGCUGUGUGUGUGUGUGUGUGUGUGUGUGUGUGUGUCUGCAGCAGGCGUGUAUAAUCAGGAGUGUGGAAAGGCUGAGCUGCUGGGGGGAGAAUGUGAAAUGUUUGUGGGUGUGGCCAUGUGGAAAGCGAACAACAGCGUGUGAAGUCAAGGCUUGAUAUUUGGAGCAACGUCUCACCCUUGUGGAGAGAAGCAGGAACAUGUGGUGAUGAGGCAGCGAGGGCAGAACACAGGCCCUGUGCAACUUCCUACCCUUCAUGUCACGGGGAGCCUGUGUCUAUUUCAGGCAUCAUCGGGCAUCAAGGCAGGAUACACCCUGGACGGAGUGCCAACCCAUCGCACGGCACACACACUCAUUCACUACGGACAAUUUAGAGACUCCAAUCAGCCUAGAAGCAUAUCGUUGGACUGUUGGAGGAAACCCACCAAGCACAGGGAGGACAUGCAAUGGUGGCAAGGAAAAACUUCCUGAGGCGAUAUGAAAAAGCAACCUUUAGGGGAAGCAGACUCAAAAGGUAGUGUAAUUAUAAAUCAGAACUGUGUAGUAUAUAAGUCAUGUAAAAUUGUGUAACCAAGAGCUUUGGACCUUAUAAGCUUUCACAUGGCCACUAUCUCUAAUUUCCAUGUGCAAACUGCUAUCUUCUGGAUUCCUAUUCCAUUCCAUUAUAAAUGUAUUGAUUAAUGAGUUAAGUUAAUGGGACAUGCAUUAUUAACUAGUGAACAGAACAAAAGAUAAUCAGACACAGACUGAUUGUGGAAUGUGGUUUCGCUGACCUGAG